UGGCUCAGGACGAACGCUGGCGGCGUGCUUAACACAUGCAAGUCGAGCGGUAAGGCCCUUCGGGGUACACGAGCGGCGAACGGGUGAGUAACACGUGAGCAACCUGCCCCUGACUCUGGGAUAAGCGGUGGAAACGCCGUCUAAUACCGGAUACGACCCUCCGUCUCAUGAUGGUGGGUGGAAAGUUUUUCGGUCAGGGAUGGGCUCGCGGCCUAUCAGCUUGUUGGUGGGGUAACGGCCUACCAAGGCGAUUACGGGUAGCCGGCCUGAGAGGGCGACCGGCCACACUGGGACUGAGACACGGCCCAGACUCCUGCGGGAGGCAGCAGUGGGGAAUAUUGCGCAAUGGGCGAAAGCCUGACGCAGCGACGCCGCGUGGGGGAUGACGGCCUUCGGGUUGUAAACCUCUUUUACCACCAACGCAGGCCCGGGGUUCUCUCCGGGUUGACGGUAGGUGGGGAAUAAGGACCGGCUAACUACGUGCCAGCAGCCGCGGUAAUACGUAGGGUCCGAGCGUUGUCCGGAAUUAUUGGGCGUAAAGAGCUCGUAGGCGGCGUGUCGCGUCUGCUGUGAAAGACCGGGGCUUAACUCCGGUUCUGCAGUGGAUACGGGCAUGCUAGAGGUAGGUAGGGGAGACUGGAAUUCCUGGUGUAGCGGUGAAAUGCGCAGAUAUCAGGAGGAACACCGGUGGCGAAGGCGGGUCUCUGGGCCUUACCUGAC
rnacentral:rRNA from 1 species